rnacentral:rRNA from 1 species
CAGCAGCCGCGGUAAUACGAAGGGUGCAAGCGUUAAUCGGAAUUACUGGGCGUAAAGCGUGCGUAGGCGGUGAGUUAAGUCUGCUGUGAAAUCCCCGGGCUCAACCUGGGAAUGGCAGUGGAUACUGGCUCGCUAGAGUGUGUCAGAGGAUGGUGGAAUUCCCGGUGUAGCGGUGAAAUGCGUAGAGAUCGGGAGGAACAUCAGUGGCGAAGGCGGCCAUCUGGGACAACACUGACGCUGAGGCACGAAAGCGUGGGGAGCAAACAGGAUUAGAUACCCGGGUAGUCCCUGUCUCUUAUAA